rnacentral:rRNA from 1 species
UACGGAGGGGGCUAGCGUUGUUCGGAAUUACUGGGCGUAAAGCGCACGUAGGCGGCUUUGCAAGUUAGAGGUGAAAGCCCGGGGCUCAACUCCGGAAUUGCCUUUAAAACUGCAUCGCUAGAAUUGUGGAGAGGUAAGUGGAAUUCCGAGUGUAGAGGUGAAAUUCGUAGAUAUUCGGAAGAACACCAGUGUCGAAGGCGACUUACUGGACACAUAUUGACGCUGAGGUGCGAAAGCGUGGGGAGCAAACAGG